CUGACACAACAUUCUAAACUUUUAGAAAAAUGUUCACUGCACGUGUCUAAAUUACAAAACAGAGUAAGAAACGAAAUUCAAUUUGCCUUUUAAAAGAUAUUAGAGCUGCUCCAACAGUGCUUCUGAAUGCUCGAUAUACUAAGCAUUAUUCAACAAGUUUUCGGAGCGGGGCACCAUAUUGAAGUGAGCUCAGGGAGCUCAAUAAAUGUAUGGUUCCUUUUUGAGUAGAAAAUAUGAUACAGUUUCAACAAAGUCCAGUACAAAGAAGCACUGUUGGAGCAGCACUGAUAUCUUGAGCAAGAAGAGUACACAUAGCCAGCUUUGGCUAAGCUUCGACAAUUUGCAAGUUCGGAUUCUAGUAAUUGUCAAACUUUCGGCAGGCUGAUGGUAGACAAUCAACCCGUGGGCAAAGUUUUGUGUUAUAAAAGCUUGAUAGCCAGAAGGUAGCGAAAUGUGGCGAGCUUUUGACAUGACGUGCACCUUGCAACCCCUAAAAGUGUCGAGCUUAAAGCUGAAAGCAACCCCAUUGAUAAAAGCUCUGCCAUGGAAAAUGUUGGUGUGAAAAUUGUCAGUGCGUCAAAAGCAGUCGCAGCGUGCGCAUCGUGACUGCAAUACCCAACAGUCUGGUUCGCCUGGUUAUAUUGUGGCCAUAACUGAGCACUCGAGAGACCCACCCACACCCGCCCACAUACAUAUAUGCGUGAGGAUUGCACAGCUGUUGGAAUUGAAGUAGCGACCGAUUGAUUUUUCGCAAUUGAAUCUUGAGGCGAAAGUUGCAGUUGGGUGGUGAAAGUGUGG